UUCUUCCCUUUUGCUAUAGUCUGCUGAGUGCACACAUUCUUCUUCACACAACCCAAACUCUUUGUAACUUCAAGACAGCUGUGGCUGCGAGGAUAGAGCAGAAAUAAGGCGGAGAUGACUGGCAUAAAGUGCGUGGCUGAUAUACAGAUGAACAUCUGACAUGCCAGGGGAGGAGGAGUGCUGUGCAUGCUGUGCUGUGGAUUUGACAGGCAGAUAGUCUCAGUGCUUGGGUGUGGUGCGAAAACAGGUGGUGUAUGGUGGUGUGAUCUAGCAUGUGGAUGUGGGUUGAAGAAUCAGUGGCUGAUCAUUAGGGCACUAAGUGUAAACAGCAGCAGGCCCACAGGAGAAGGCCUAACGUGGCCUCCUCACAGAAGAUCAAUAGCCCAUUCACAGAGAGCAGCACACAUACACAACACAUAUCCUUAGCAACAGUCUUGGAGAUCCACCACCAGAUUUCCCAUUAAA